rnacentral:rRNA from 1 species
UAGGGAAUCUUCGGCAAUGGACGAAAGUCUGACCGAGCAACGCCGCGUGAGUGAAGAAGGUUUUCGGAUCGUAAAACUCUGUUGCUAGAGAAGAACAAGGACGUUAGUAACUGAACGUCCCCUGACGGUAUCUAACCAGAAAGCCACGGCUAACUACGUGCCAGCAGCCGCGGUAAUACGUAGGUGGCAAGCGUUGUCCGGAUUUAUUGGGCGUAAAGCGAGCGCAGGCGGUUGCUUAAGUCUGAUGUGAAAGCCCCCGGCUCAACCGAGGAGGGUCAUUGGAAACUGGGAGACUUGAGUGCAGAAGAGGAGAGUGGAAUUCCAUGUGUAGCGGUGAAAUGCGUAGAUAUAUGGAGGAACACCAGUGGCGAAGGCGGCUCUCUGGUCUGUAACUGACGCUGAGGCUCGAAAGCGUGGGGAGCAAACAGG